rnacentral:lncRNA from 1 species
CCAGUCCCCUGCAGUGGCCUCCAGCAGAAUCAUGUGGCUCCACCCCCUCAUCCUGCCUGCACCCUGCUCUGGGGGACAAAAAAUAAUUUUCUCUAUCUUUUGUAGUUCUUAACGGGGACUCGGAUGACAAAAGACAGAUUAACAAGAGAGAAACAAAUAGAAGUUCAUUAGCAUGUGUCCCCGCGGGCACCAGGGAAGCCAGUGGCUCUGGAGGAAGUUUCGGCUUCAGACUUGAACCCCGCCAUUUUCUGAAGCAGAAAGAAGGGCCUGGGGGAGCCCAGCACCGCAAGCUCAGGGAGGCUGUGCGGUCGAGGCCCCGCCUCCCUGCAGGGUCUCCAGUGAGCCCGUCCUUCUUCCCCCGUGGGGCCCGGGCACCCUCCAGGGGGUUGCCCCCAGAGAGGUGCCUUCCUCUUACCAGGAGGUGACUUUUCAGAGCUGCUCUGGUGGCCGCCAUGUCUCAGAAUGACCAGCUCAAAAUCAUCAUCACGCCAAACAGGCCUAUGGCAGGGUGGCCUCUUCUGGCCCAUCCUGGGCAUAUCUGGGGGGGACGGGCGUAGGCCCCAUCGCCACCUUCCAGGGGAACCCCAGGCACCUCCCUGCCACAGGGCGCGUGCCCAGGAGCUUCAGGAAUAAAAGGGGACGCCCGCUCGGGGUGACCAAGACCCUGCC